rnacentral:ncRNA from 1 species
AAAUAGAUAUUGAGCAGAUAAGUAAGUUUUUUCAAACGAUUACAGAGAGCUUUGAUUAUGCUGAGACGAAGCACGCAAGGAAACUGAAAAUGGUCUAGGAAUUAUCUAUCAUCGUAAGUCUUUGACAAACGAUGUUCGGGUACGCCCGUUAUCGCGUAAAAGUAUUUCUUACGAAGUACUUAUUGAGUGUAAUGCAGCGAUGUAUUACAAAAUCAGGGUGGUAACACGAAGAUUUCGUCCCGUAG